CCGAAAUGUUGAUCACCACCCAGCUUUUGUUGUUGUAUAUAACAUGGAUACAACUGAAAUUGUAUCAUUUUAUCAGAAUUCACCAGACGAGCUUUAUCUGUUGUUUGAGCAGUUCUGUGACCACUUCCAUGCAACAUCAAGGAAUUCAAUGUAUAUGAAUUUCAUAUCUUCUCAUUCAAAUAAUAUCCACGCACUGGAACAGCUCCGGAGCAUUAAAGAUAAGGCAAGCAGCUCUGCACAGUUUUGCAGUUUGUGAAGAAUAUUUUUGAAUCAAGAUUCAUUGUACGUACACAUUACUUUUGAAUCAAGAAUAUUUUGAUAGAAAAGCUUUAUACUCUAUGGUCACAUCCCAGUGGCAAAAAUAUUUGCUUAGUAAUAUUCUAAUUGAUUAAAAAAAAGUUAUAGGUUGUAUACUUGUAAUUGCAUUUAAUU